CUACGGGAGGCACCAGUGAGGAAUAUUGGGCAAUGGGCGCAAGCCUGACCCAGCCAUGCCGCGUGAAGGAUGACUGCCCUAUGGGUUGUAAACUUCUUUUGUACGGGAAGAAUGGUUCCUACGUGUAGGGAUUUGACGGUACCGUAAGAAUAAGCAUCGGCUAACUCCGUGCCAGCAGCCGCGGUAAUACGGAGGAUGCAAGCGUUAUCCGGAUUCAUUGGGUUUAAAGGGUGCGCAGGCGGAAUAUUAAGUCAGUGGUGAAAUCCUGCAGCUUAACUGUAGAACUGCCAUUGAUACUGAUAUUCUUGAAUGUAGUUGAGGUAGGCGGAAUGUGUAAUGUAGCGGUGAAAUGCUUAGAUAUUACCCAGAACACCAAUUGCGAAGGCAGCUUACUAAACUAAUAUUGACGCUGAGGCACGAAAGCGUGGGGAGCGAACAGGAUUAGAUACCCUUGUAGUC
rnacentral:rRNA from 1 species